rnacentral:tRNA from 1 species
GGCAAGGUAGCUCAGUGGUAGAGCAAUGGCAUUGCAAGCUAUGUGCCGCAGGUUCGAUUCCUGCCUUUCCGAUUCCA